AAUUCCAAAGCAAAGACACAGCCCGAGGAAUGUUUUCAUUUCUGUUUUCGGGACCGGGGUCCACUUGAGGUCGUGGGGGUCUGAGCUCGUACCUGUUGCGCGUACCGAUUCGUUUCGGUCAAUAACGUUGGAUCAACCGGCACAAAAUCAUUCUCGUCCUCAUUCUCAUACUCAAAUCCCUUGAAUUCUAUGACAAUAUCACUGCCAUCGCUAUCAAAAUCCUCCAUGUUCAUUGCUACUUCUCGGUCGCCAGCUAGACG